GGGCGGAUAGCUCAGCCGGGAGAGCAGCAGUUUUACACACUGCGGGUCGCAGGUUCGAUCCCUGUUCCGCCCA
rnacentral:tRNA from 1 species